UUGGUGAUCAUAAUAACUUUUCGAAUCGCAUGGCCUUGUUGCGGCGAUGCUUCAUUCAAAUAUCUGGCCCUAUCAACUUUCGAUGGUAGGAUAGAGGCCUACCAUGGUUUCAACGGGUAACGGGGAAUAAGGGUUCGAUUCCGGAGAGGGAGCCUGAGAAACGGCUACCACAUCCAAGGAGGGCAGCAGGCGCGCAAAUUACCCAAUCCCGACACGGGGAGGUAGUGACAAUAAAUAACAAUAUAGGGCCCUCUCGGGGUCUUAUAAUUGGAAUUGAGUACAAUUUAAAUCCCUUAACGAGGGAACAAUUGGAGGGCAAGUCUGGUGCCAGCAGCCGCGGUAAUUCCAGCUCCAAUAGCGUAUAUUACAGUUGUUGCAGUUAAAAAGCUCGUAGUUGAACUUUCCAGGGCCCGGCUGGGUUGGUCCUGUUAACGGGCAUGGUACUUGUCUGGCUGGGGUCUUACCUCUUGGUUGAGGCCGGUUG
rnacentral:rRNA from 1 species